AGCCUUCUGUAUCCGUGCUGAGAUUUCGUCAUACACCAGACCACAAGGGCUGAUGAGACAUUAGGAGUUAUUAAAAUUU
rfam:Schistosoma mattheei strain Denwood, Zambia genome assembly, scaffold: SMTD_scaffold0013079